AUGGGCGGCAAGAGGAAGAGCACCGCGGACGUGAAGACGCCGCCGACAGUGGGCCGGCGGCCGGGCCGCCCGAGGAAGAACACGCCGCCGGAGGCGAUCCGGCGCCCGGGCCGCCCGAGGAAGAGCGAGCCGGGCGUCGAGGUGCCGCUGGCACGCAGCCCGGUCCCGGCCCAGACGCUGCCGUCGCCCAGAUCCGAGCGCGAGGAGGAGGCGAACGGCGGGCUGCUGGAGCUCGCGCGCGGCGCGGCGGCCAUAGCCGCGGCGGAGGAGGAGGAGGAGCAGGUCAGGAUGCGCUGCGACCUCUGCCAUGGCCCCCUCAGGCCCCCCAUCUACCAGUGCACCAGCGUGCAGCACGUCGCGUGCCGCGACUGCGGCGCCGACGAGUGCCGCCCGUGCGGCGGGGACCCGGCCGCCGUCUUCGUCCACAACGCCCAGCUGGACGCCCUCUUCGGCUACAUCAGGGUGCCGUGCCCGUUCCGCAAGUUCGGGUGCGCCAGCUCCGUCGCCUACCGCGACCUGGCGGCGCACGAGACUGCGUGCACGUGGGCGCCCUGCGCUUGCGCGGAGUGCGGGUACAAGGGGCCCCCGUCGGGCCUCCUGCGUCAUCUCACGGAGUUGUCCGGCCGGCACGCCUGGACCGCCCACAGGAUCACCUACGGGAUGGACCACCGGUUCGCCGUCCCUGUGCCGGAGUCGUCGGAGCAGCAGUGCGAGGACCACGGCCUCCUGAUCGCGGAGGACGGCGCCGUGUUCCUCGUGGCCGUGGGGGGCGCCGGCGGCGUCCGCCGCGUCACUGUGGUGUGCGUUAGGGGUAACGUUGGCACCGGGCCUGUGUACAGCUCCUCCGUCGAGGUGGCUGGCCCAGACGAGGCGCGCCGGCUGAAGCUUGAGAAGAAGGUGGCGGCGAGCUGCUCGGCCCCCGUCGAGUUCGAUGUGUUGGCGCAGCCGGAGUGCGACACGGUCCCCGUGUAUCCGGAGAUGCUGCACGGGGAGGAGCUCCAUCUGUGCAUCCGUAUCGGCAAGACGAAGAUCAUCUGUUCCUGA
rnacentral:rRNA from 1 species